rnacentral:rRNA from 1 species
ACAGCAGUAGCCGCGGUAAUACGUAGGGUGCAAGCGUUAAUCGGAAUUACUGGGCGUAGAGCGCACGUAGGCUGCUUUGUAAGUUGGAGGUGAAAGCCUGGUGCUCAACACCAGAACUGCCUUUAAGACUGCAGAGCUAGAACGUCGGAGAGGUGAGUGGAAUUCCGAGUGUAGAGGUGGAAUUCGUAGAUAUUCGGAAGAACACCAGUGGCGAAGGCGGCUCACUGGACGACUGUUGACGCUGAGGUGCGAAAGCGUGGGGAGCAAACAGGAUUAGAUACCCCAGUAGUCCCUGUCUCUUAUAC